UACAGAGGGUGCAAGCGUUAAUCGGAAUUACUGGGCGUAAAGCGUGCGUAGUCGGUUAUCUAAGUCGGGUGUGAAAUCCCCGGGCUCAACCUGGGAAUUGCAUUCGAUACUGGAUAGCUAGAGUUCGGCAGAGGGAAGCGGAAUUUCGGGUGUAGCGGUGAAAUGCGUAGAUAUCCGAAGGAACAUCAGUGGCGAAAGCGGCUUCCUGGACCAGAACUGACGAUCAGGCACGAAGGCGUGGGGAGCAAACAGG
rnacentral:rRNA from 1 species